GAUGAACGCUAGCGACAGGCUUAACACAUGCAAGUCGAGGGGCAGCAUAAAAGUAGCAAUACUUUGGUGGCGACCGGCGCACGGGUGAGUAACGCGUAUGCAACCUACCUAUCAGAGGGGGAUAACCCGGCGAAAGUCGGACUAAUACCGCAUAAAACAGGGGCACCGCAUGGUGAUAUUUGUUAAAAAUUUAUUGCUGAUAGAUGGGCAUGCGUUCCAUUAGGUAGUUGGAGAGGUAACGGCUCACCAAGCCAACGAUGGAUAGGGGAACUGAGAGGUUGGUCCCCCACACUGGUACUGAGACACGGACCAGACUCCUACGGGAGGCAGCAGUGAGGAAUAUUGGUCAAUGGGCGAGAGCCUGAACCAGCCAAGUCGCGUGAAGGAAGAAGGAUCUAUGGUUCGUAAACUUCUUUUGCAGGGGAAUAAAGUGCAGGACGUGUCCUGUUUUGUAUGUACCCUGAGAAUAAGGAUCGGCUAACUCCGUGCCAGCAGCCGCGGUAAAACG
rnacentral:rRNA from 1 species